UACGACUAUGAUGGAGACAUUAAGGCUCCUAACAAGUAUAAAUUAUGAUCAUUCCCCAUAUAUUUUAAGCACAAACAUUAAAACCACUUAUCAAAAUGGCUUCCUUUUUCUUGUCCUUACUAGUUUUGUUCUUUGCUGCUCUUAUCAUUGUUCCACAAGGUCUUGCAAAUGUUUACCAAGUCCAACAAAAGGGUAGGGGUAAACCCAUAGGUCCAAAGCCACCAAUUCCAGACACUUUCGCAAAUGUUUACGAAUUCCUGCCAAAGAAUUUGGGUACUGGAAAACCCAUAAAUAAACCACCGCCACCAGCUAAAAUAUAAGCCUUGAUAUCUAUUAAAUAAGGCAUAUAUCUAUUAAAUAAGUCAUUGGUGCUUUGUUUUAUACAAUUUAAUAGCAUCAUAUGUGUGACAUGAAUAAAAUCAUGGUAGAAACGUUGUGCUCUUUGAUCAAAUUUACGAAUAAAUAAAUAUUAUUAAUUUGAGGUUGUGUUUUUACUGGUUGAUAUGUUAUAUAUGUAAUUUAUGAUCUAAAUACUAUUUUCAUAUAAUAUAAACUUAAGUACUUUAAUAAUUCAUAUAUAUAUAUAAGCACAAACUUAUAUCAUAUCUUGCUACUACGUCUUUCUAAAAUUAAUUAGUUAGACUUUGUAUAAAAAAAGAUUGAUUAUUCAAAAACAUCA
rnacentral:lncRNA from 1 species